ACUCCUACGGGAGGCAGCAGUGGGGAAUUUUGGACAAUGGGCGCAAGCCUGAUCCAGCAAUGCCGCGUGCAGGAAGAAGGCCUUCGGGUUGUAAACUGCUUUUGUCAGGGAAGAAAUCUUCUGGGCUAAUACCCCGGGAGGAUGACGGUACCUGAAGAAUAAGCACCGGCUAACUACGUGCCAGCAGCCGCGGUAAUACGGAGGGUGCAAGCGU
rnacentral:rRNA from 1 species